rnacentral:lncRNA from 1 species
UAAGGUAACAUAAAUUUACCUUCUCUUGCCUAAAGAGAUACUAUCUAAAAAUGACAGCUGCUCAGAUCUUUUCUUUGCUGCUUCCCCAGACGAACCCGUGCUAGGUUUGCCUCGUCUCUUUAUGUAAUAUUCUCUUACAUAUCCCCAUCUCUUACUGCAGUCAUUAUCUAUAAAUAUAAAAAUAAAAACAAAGAGGCAAGUGUUCUAAAUUACUACAUGUUAUUUUUUUAGGUUUUUGGCUACAGGAGAAUCAUUUCGAUUCUUGGUGUUUCAGUUUAGAAUAUGCCAUUCGUGGAUUAGUGUAAUAAUAAUGCAGGUUGCUGAAUCCAUUGUUGCAAGAAUGCUUACUUUGGUAAUGCCACAACCAACAGAGGAAAUGUUCAAAACCAUCUCUACGAAAUUCAGAUCUCUUUGGGAUUUUCCGAACUGUGUUGGAGCAAUUGAUGGUAAGCAUAUUCGGAUAAAGGCUCCAAAAAAUAGUGGAUCCACUUUCUUCAACUGCAAGGACUUUCAUUCUGUAGUGAUGUUGGCACUUGUAGAUGCAGAUAAUAAUUUUGUUGCAGUAGACAUAGGAUCGUACGGCAGAGAAGGAGAUGCAGGCAUAUAUUUAAAAAGUAGAUUUGGAAAAAAAUUCUGAAAAAAGAAUUUAAUAUUCCACCGCCACAACCAUUGCCUGGCAUGAAUAUGCUGGUGCCCCAUGUUAUUCUCAGCGAUGAGGCAUUUGCUCUUCAUGAGCAUCUCAUGAAACCAUAUCCACGAAAUCAAUCAGUAUCUGAUAAAACUAAUAUAUCAAGCAAUCUAUAAUUACCGACUUUCCCGAGCUCCCAAUUGCUACGCGUCCGGAAACCACGGAUAAACUUAUAAUGUGUGCCUGUAUUUUAUAUAAUCUUCUGCGUGAAACAAAUAUUCUUCCGACAGUGACUAAUAGGACAGAGAAAUACUCACUUCCUACAGAAAAUUUACUUCCACUAAUUCACAACAACGUACGCGGGGCAAAUAUACCAGUUCAAAUUCGUGAGACAUUUAAAACGUAUUUUAAUGGACCCGGUGCUGUAGCAUGGCAGGAACAGCAUUACCGAGAAAACUAAAUCAAUCACAACAAUGUAAUAUAUUAAAAAUAUAUAUAUAUUUUUUAUGGUAA